GGACAUGCCCGGAGCGCGCGCUGGAGCGGCGCGAGGAGGAGGCGAACGUGGUGCUCACCGGGACGGUGGAGGAGAUCCUCAACGUGGACCCGGUGCAGCACACGUACUCCUGCAAGGUUCGGGUCUGGCGGUACUUGAAGGGCAAAGACCUGGUGGCCCGGGAGAGCCUGCUGGACGGCGGCAACAAGGUGGUGAUCAGCGGCUUUGGAGACCCCCUCAUCUGUGACAACCAGGUGUCCACUGGGGACACCAGGAUCUUCUUUGUGAACCCUGCACCCCCAUACCUGUGGCCAGCCCACAAGAACGAGCUGAUGCUCAACUCCAGCCUCAUGCGGAUCACCCUGCGGAACCUGGAGGAGGUGGAGUUCUGUGUGGAAGAUAAACCCGGGACCCACUUCACUCCAGUGCCUCCGACGCCUCCUGAUGACCAGGCCCCGUCCCCAUGCCUCGGGGUGCAGUGUGCAUUUGGGGCGACGUGUGCUGUGAAGAACGGGCAGGCAGCGUGUGAAUGCCUGCAG
rnacentral:lncRNA from 1 species